AUUGAACGCUGGCGGCAGGCUUAACACAUGCAAGUCGAACGAGUGGCGGACGGGUGAGUAAUGUCUGGGAAACUGCCUGAUGGAGGGGGAUAACUACUGGAAACGGUAGCUAAUACCGCAUACCAUCGGAUGUGCCCAGAUGGGAUUAGCUAGUAGGUGGGGUAAAGGCUCACCUAGGCGACGAUCCCUAGCUGGUCGGAGAGGAUGACCAGACACACUGGAACGGAGACACGGUCCAGACUCCUACGUGAGGCAGCAGUGGGGAAUAUUGCACAAGGGGCGCAAGCCUGAUGCAGCCAUGCCGCGUGUAUGAAGAAGGCCUUCGGGUUGUAAAGUACUUGCAGCGGGGAGGCGUUACCCGCAGAAGAAGCACCGGCUAACUCCGUGCCAGCAGCCGCGGUAAUAC
rnacentral:rRNA from 1 species